rnacentral:rRNA from 1 species
AGAGUUUGAUCCUGGCUCAGGAUGAACGCUGGCGGCGUGCUUAACACAUGCAAGUCGAACGAAGCACUUUAUUUGAUUUCCUUCGGGACUGAUUAUUUUGUGACUGAGUGGCGGACGGGUGAGUAACGCGUGGGUAACCUGCCUUGUACAGGGGGAUAACAGUUGGAAACGGCUGCUAAUACCGCAUAAGCGCACAGCAUCGCAUGAUGCAGUGUGAAAAACUCCGGUGGUAUAAGAUGGACCUGCGUUGGAUUAGCUAGUUGGUGAGGUAACGGCCCACCAAGGCGACGAUCCAUAGCCGACCUGAGAGGGUGACCGGCCACAUUGGGACUGAGACACGGCCCAAACUCCUACGGGAGGCAGCAGUGGGGAAUAUUGCACAAUGGGCGAAAGCCUGAUGCAGCGACGCCGCGUGAGCGAAGAAGUAUUUCGGUAUGUAAAGCUCUAUCAGCAGGGAAGAUAAUGACGGUACCUGACUAAGAAGCACCGGCUAAAUACGUGCCAGCAGCCGCGGUAAUACGUAUGGUGCAAGCGUUAUCCGGAUUUACUGGGUGUAAAGGGAGCGCAGGCGGUGUGGCAAGUCUGAUGUGAAAGCCCGGGGCUCAACCCCGGUACUGCAUUGGAAACUGUCGUACUAGAGUGUCGGAGGGGUAAGCGGAAUUCCUAGUGUAGCGGUGAAAUGCGUAGAUAUUAGGAGGAACACCAGUGGCGAAGGCGGCUUACUGGACGAUAACUGACGCUGAGGCUCGAAAGCGUGGGGAGCAAACAGGAUUAGAUACCCUGGUAGUCCACGCCGUAAACGAUGAGUACUAGCUGUCGGAGGUUACCCCCUUCGGUGGCGCAGCUAACGCAUUAAGUACUCCGCCUGGGGAGUACGCUCGCAAGAGUGAAACUCAAAGGAAUUGACGGGGACCCGCACAAGUAGCGGAGCAUGUGGUUUAAUUCGAAGCAACGCGAAGAACCUUACCUAAGCUUGACAUCCUUUUGACCGAUGCCUAAUCGCAUCUUUCCCUUCGGGGACAGAAGUGACAGGUGGUGCAUGGUUGUCGUCAGCUCGUGUCGUGAGAUGUUGGGUUAAGUCCCGCAACGAGCGCAACCCUUGCCUUUAGUUGCCAUCAUUAAGUUGGGCACUCUAGAGGGACUGCCAGGGAUGACCUGGAGGAAGGUGGGGAUGACGUCAAAUCAUCAUGCCCCUUAUGCUUAGGGCUACACACGUGCUACAAUGGGUGGUACAGAGGGCAGCGAAGUCGUGAGGCCAAGCUAAUCCCUUAAAGCCAUUCUCAGUUCGGAUUGUAGGCUGAAACUCGCCUACAUGAAGCUGGAGUUACUAGUAAUCGCAGAUCAGAAUGCUGCGGUGAAUGCGUUCCCGGGUCUUGUACACACCGCCCGUCACACCAUGGGAGUUGGGGGCGCCCGAAGCCGGCUAGCUAACCUUUUGGAAGCGGUCGUCGAAGGUGAAACCAAUAACUGGGGUGAAGUCGUAACAAGGUA